UUCUUAUCCAGAGAGGUGGAGGGACUGGCCCAUUGAUACCUCGGCAACGUGCUUUUAAAGCAACGUGCCAAUUCCAACAGACGAAGGUCUGUAAAGAUAAGAG
rfam:Oceanobacillus picturae, S1, WGS project CCAX01000000 data, contig: 000003